ensembl:lncRNA
CGGGAUCACAGGCGUUCGCCACCACGCCUGGCUACACUGCUUCUCAAGAUGCUGUUUAUUGUUCGCCCACAGCUCCAGCUUCCUCUCUGUGCGGUCUUUGCCGAUGGCAAGAACAGACAGGCUUCUCGGGGCCUUCAAGGCGUGGGCACAGUGCGCUGGUGCUGUUUGCGUCUGCGCAGUGCCUCCCUGCGGCCCGACCGGAAGCCGCUGGGGUCUUGGGCACUUCCUGUGCGCCGCGGUCUCCCAAGGAAGACGGUGUUGCGUUGGCUUUAUUUAUCAUGGAGGAAAACGGGGCUUAGGAAUCAGAGUAGGGUUCGAUGGCGCAGGAGUGAGAACUAGGAAGCCAGUGACUCGGUUUCCCCGACAAUCCCUGCGCACUGCUGCCAAGGGGUCCCGAAGAGACCCGGCCAGCCCUGUCCUCCCAUCGUCCGGGCGCACUGAGGAGGCCCAGACACCGGAAGGAAUUGCACGAAGAUGGAAAUAACAAUCCUCGUGAGCUGCCACGUGAGACCACUGUUACUGCACGUUCACGUCCUCCCUGAGAAACUUCGGAAGAGAAAUCUGGACGCUCCAGGAGCCGCUGUUUACCCAGAGGGGAGCGGAAGAGGACAAGCAGGCCAGGAGGAUCCGGACUUAAAACGACUGCAGCAGAACAGGAACAAGCAAAGAAAGCAAAAGGCCAGGGCCACCAGCGGCUUCUACUUCUGCAGUGUCUGCUGACCCUGAGCUCCUUCUGUCUGGUUUGAGCAGGAUUCAGUUCAAGCAAAUGUAGGGAAGCUGUCGGCCUGGUUUCGGGUACGACAUGCUCGGGUCGCUUCUCCUUCAGGGAUUUACAGAUGAGAGUUUGCCUUAAGUCUCAGAGGAGAUUUUGGAUUUGGAAUUUUGAGCAGUGCUGGAACUGUUGAGACUUUGGGGAGAACAACAUGUUUUCAGUUGUAGCUGGGAUUUACAAUUUAGGUUGGAGUUGGAGAAGAAAUUCACAGCAGCAUCCACCAUACUUGGGAGUGGUAUAAUCAGAAGCCAUUGUCAGAAGGGUUUAUUAAGACUGAUACUCCAGGGAUCAGAAGUCAUGGAACAACUUCACUUCAGGGUCUCUGGGGUUACACUACCACAGUGACUGUGUAGGAGACAGCCACAAGAGACAAUCACAAAGGAAGAGGGCUGGUGACAGAUUCCAUGAGAAGUUAAAGCAGCAGCAUGAAGCACUGUGAAGGUCACAGUGGUCCAAUACUCUGUGAGAAAGCCAAAUUUGAAGAAGUUGAUCUUUCCUGCUUACACUGGUUAGAUUUUGGAAAUCUGGAAAUGGAGCCAUUGGCAUUUCAAGAAAGUUCUGUCUGGAAAAAUAAAUUCUGUGACUUGUGUGCAACCCUUGAGAAGAUAGAGAACAUGGAAUGUGAGGGAGAACAAAGGACUGCAGGUGGUAGCUCUGAAAAUGAAAUCCUUAAAGUGUGGAAUUCCGUGCCGAAUAAUUGUAAGUCAAUGAAAGCACUUGGGAUUGCUUUUCUUACUUUGUUUGGAACAUCUCAUGUUUGUGAGCAGUUGUGUUCAGUUUUGAAUUCUAUCAAAUCUGAUACAGGAAACAGACUGACUGAUGAUGACCUGAGUCUGCAUGUGUUGCUCUCAAGCUAGCAAAGUGUGAGCCAAGGUUGACAGAUUAUCAGAUGCAUAGGACAGCAAGAUCACAUUAAUG